rnacentral:lncRNA from 1 species
GGGAAGAAGCUGCUGUGGCUGGAGCCCUCCAGGAAGGGUGCUCUGCCAUGGGAAAACCAGGACGCUGCAGGGCGCACUGGGGCGGAGGAGGGCUGGGAGCAGGCUGAGGUCUCUGCCCCUCAGGAAGCUGUGAGGGAUUUGUGUGUUUUCCAAGGCAGCAGAGACAGGAUGCUGAGGGGUGGGAGAGAGACAGAUUUCCUUCUGCAGUGAAUAGACUGGGGUGGGGGAUGGCGGCUCCAAUUUAACCCUUGCCUGUUCCUUUCAUCUCCAAAAUGAAAUGGUGGCUUAGGAAACCAUUCCAACAAACUGCAUAAAUGAGAGGCACAAAAAGUACUGGGUUGUUGGCACCAAGGUGAUGCUUGAAGGCUCUUCUGCAUCUCUUGUAAGGUCAUUAGUAGGACAAUCUAGAGGAGAAGUGGAAGAAAACCCAACUACCAUCACUCCCACUCCCACCAAACCCUUGGAAAUGCCGUGGAAAUAGGACCUGCGUGAAGACCUUUAGGGCAUAAGCACAUGAAGUGUUUGGGAGAGGUACCUGGAACAUGGGAAUCCAGAGAAAACUACUUUGUUUACUGCACCAAAGUCUCCCAGAGCUGUGGAGAGUCCGCACGGAUGAAAGUUGGCAGCCAGGCUGCAGGUGGGAUUAGCUAUGCUUUGGUGCUCACAGCAGUUGACAAGGAGGAGACAAUGGGAGAACACGAUGUGUUGUGCUGUUGUCUAAAAGCAGACGGGUAGGUGGGAACCUUCAGGCAGGUUUCUGCCUGCAGUGCUUCUGGUUUGGUACACCUGGCCCGUGGCAGGCAAACCUGGAUUGCCCUGUGUGUCCUCAUGAACCUGAGCACAGGGCUCAGGUCUCAGCAGCCACCAGUGUCACUGUGU